rnacentral:rRNA from 1 species
GUGUCAGCAGCCGCGGUAAGACGAAGGUGGCGAGCGUUGUUCGGAAUCACUGGGCAUAAAGCGCACGUAGGCGGCGGCGUAAGUCGGGUGUGAAAUCCCUCGGCCCAACCGAGGAACUGCGCCCGAUACUGCGUUGCUUGAGGAUCAGAGGGGUGCACGGAAUUUCCGGUGGAGCGGUGAAAUGCGUUGAUAUCGGAAGGAACGUCGGCGGCGAAAGCGGUGCACUGGCUGAUUUCUGACGCUGAGGUGCGAAAGCCAGGGGAGCAAACGGGAUUAGAUACCCCCGUAGUCC